UAUAGAGCGUGAGCGUGCUAAGGUAGCGUAUAUAUAGCUUUUUAUUGGAGGCCAGUGAUGGCAACACGGAAACCCCUGUAUGCAUGUAUGAUGUGAUGAAAACUUUAUGUUUUGGGUGGAAAAAGCCCAAAUAAUUGAGGAAGACAAAAAGACCCCGCGGAGCUUUACUUUGUCAAGCCAAACAAAUCUGCCAGAUCGGUUAUGCUAAUAAGUUUGUGGUUGGGGCCAACCCUGGAACCAUUAAAGCUUCCAGUAUUAACCAAGAAGCACAUAAAAAACAUCUUCGGACUAAAAAGAAGCUACCCCGGGGGAUAACCAGCGGUAAUCCAACUUAAGAGUACGCAUCGAAAGUUGGGUUUGCGACCUCGAUGUUGGCUUAAGGUAAUUCACAUGAGCGCAGCCGCUAUGAGAGAAUAGUCUGUUCGACUAUUCAUACCCUUACAUGAGCUGAGUUAAGACCGGCGCAAGCUAGGUUGGUUCUAUCUCCUCUACAUCACAUCUACUCUUAUGUACGAAGGACCCGUA
rnacentral:rRNA from 1 species